AUGACAACAAGUAGUUGAACAAAAAAUAAUACUUCAGUAGCAAAAAUAGAAGGAAAACAAUUUCAAAUUAGGAUGCAGAUUAAUUUAUUUGAAUGAGAAUAUUUAACUUAGUAGAACAGCCUUGAUUUUGGGCAAGACAAAAAGCACUUUUUUGUUUAUUCUUUCACAUUCUUAUACAAACGGUCAACUUCAAGGCACAAGCAAAAUUCACAUUUUAUAAGUCCUAGGCAGACAAAGAUAGCUAAAGAGCUUCACUCUUUACCACAUAGGGAUUACUACGUCCUGGACAACCUACCUGGCAGCUACUUCUGUAGAACACAAGCACAUUGCAGUAGCAGCUGUUUUCCCAAACCCAACCUAAUUCCAGUUUCUUAGCUUUGGUAUUUCUACAUUAGAAUUUUACUGUUAUACCACAUAUAUUCUCUUGUAUGGAGAUAAAUUUUGGUGAUUAUUUUAUAACAGAAUUUCUGAAUAAUUACUGUUUUGUACUAAGUUAAUGGCCAAGCCAAAUAUUAAGCACCAUCUAUUACUACCUCAGACUAUUACUCUCUUAUGAACAUUAGGGACAUGGAAGUAGGUCUCUACUGUUUAAUUAGGCCUCUUUAUUAUCUUACCACCAUAUGAUGCAGUAGACAUGGUAUAAAACAAAGCAAUGAUAACUCCCCCAGUCUAUCUUUUAACUGACUAAUCUUUACAUGUAUAAGAAAAUAUUAACUGAAACACUGCUGAUUUUACCAUCCCUUGCUACAUUUUUGCCUUCUCAAAAGGAACCUUCUUUUAAACAGAGUCAUUCCUUAUCUACCUCAUUAUUUCAAACUCCUUGUGAAGAACAUCUCGACCAGAUAAAGAAAAUGUGAGGCAAUUAAAUGUAAGUAUGCUUACUGAUGGGACACCAAACCCACCAGUGCAAUUAAAAUCAGACAUUUCACUUAUUUUUAACUUCCCAAGGUACCCAGAAGAAUGUGCUUAAAACUUUCUGCCACCAGUGGUGAGUAGGCUGAAACUUUGUCCUUUAUAUAAGCUCUAAAGCUCCUCCAAACAUUUCCAUUUCUCCUCCAGACUUCUGACUUUUUCCCAUCCACAGAGUUAAUACCCAAAUCAGAUGUUUAACUAGUAUAUCCUUUAUUUUUCUUCUUUUUUUUUCUUCCCCCCACACUUAAGAGCAUUCUCUGAAGUGACUACUUCUCUUAUCUCACAAGACUCCUUCUCAAGACACAAGGUAGCUGUUUCUUAAGAGUGUAACAAAGCCAGGGAAAAUAGGUGCAUAGCAUCUGCUUAGCUGCGGCAAAGACACCCCUAACUACCCAAACUGAUACCAAAGGGAGACCAGACACAAGCAACCAAAAGUGAGCUUUGAGGUUAAUAUUUCUUUAAGGUCAACAGAAAGGUGGGAAUUGUUUGUCUCUAGGCAUCUGAAAGAGAAGUUAAUCAAAUGUCUUAGUUAUCCAUCAAUGAGACAAACCAACCAAUUUUCAGUGUCCUAAUCUUCGGGGAGAAAAAAACAAAAUUACAGACAUGAGCAUAACUGUCUGAGCAGGAUUGCUUUCCUCAUCAAGAAUAAUCCUGGAUUCAGCAUCUGGGUUCUAACAGUGGCUUGUAAUCAUGGACACAUUUAAGAUUAAUCAUUAUAGAUAGUGUUAUAUUUAUCUGAGGAUCCGGGGAACCAAAGGCCUGUCAGCCUGACCUCAGUACUGGGGAAGGGGACGGAGCAGCUCACCUCAAGUGUGAUCAAAUAGCCUGUGUGGGACAACCGGGGAAUGAGGUCAGUCAGCAUGGGUUCUUCUUGACUAACCUGAUCUCUUUCUAUGACCAGAUGACCCAUCUAGUGGGUGAGGAAAAGGCUUUUGAUGUACUCUACUUAGACUUCAGUAAAUCCCUUGACUCUCUUUCAGUUUUCUCUUGAAGAAGCUAGCUGCUCAUUAUUUAGACAGUUGUACCAUUUGCGCAUGCGCAGUGGGUCGUGGGAUGAAGAUUUCUUGUCUUCCUAGGCACUACUUACAGGCACUACUGCUAUUACUACUGAAUGAAGGCACUCAUGAGAUCUAUCCUGGUCUCCACUAUCUUGUCUUCUGAGGGUUCAUUCAAAAGCAGUUCUUGAAAUAUUUGUGAUUGGGUGCUUUUCUUUUUUCCAAAAAAAUUAAGGGCAGCCUUUCCCAAAGCCACAGUGUCUAGCUUUGAUGUGAAUGUCAGACUGCCUCAGGUCACUGUAAAAAAAGGUUACAGCAAAUCAUGCUCUGAUGCUGGUUUUCAACCUACUAAAUAUCACAGAUGUAAUCUCAAAAAUUUCACCUGAAAAUGUCUGCUAGAUUAAAAUUGCAGUUAACUUGAACAUAAAAGACUACUGAAAUAAAAAUUAAAACGAAGAUAUAAGAAAAUAUGCCCUCUUCUCUGCUGCAUUCUACUACAAAUACUUUGGCUUUGCUGAACUUACAGUCAAUACAAAUGCAGACUUCUGGCUUCUGCUUAGUGUUCAUCAGAUUUGCUGACACAAAUUCUGUUGUUUAUUUACUAGCACUAAAGGAUAGAAAACAACCAGCUAGAACAAGCAACUCCUUUAUAAAAUGGUUAUUUUCCUCUUUGCCCAAACCAUUCUUUUCCAUGUGGUUAUCAGUCUAGUAGUAAAUUCAGCAGAGUGUGGAGAACAAAGAUAGGGAUAGGUAAAUAUUAAUACACACGUAAACAAUUUACAAAACACUGCUGUUCGUUAAAGAUGCUAUCCUAUCCAAAUAGUUGUCCAUCAAAUGUGGAGACUGCUCUUCAUAACCCCUCUGUGCUUAUAUAAAUGGGUAUAGAACUCUGGUCUAUUAGAUUAUUAUAACGGGGAAUAUACUCCUUAGUAGCAGUUUUAAGCUAUUUUUUGUUGUUAAUAUUUCUAGUCCAAUCUAAAGCAGAUGCAUGACGAGCCUUCUUUUAGCACAGUUCUAUAAAAAAUUAAUUCACAUCACUUUUGACAGUCUAGAUAAUGACUGUUCUAGAUAACUCCCAGAUAAUUCCCAUUUAUAAUUUAAUUAUAAAUGCAAAAUAAGUCUGUACAUGAUCAAAGGAAAGAAUAAUCAAAUAGUCAUACAGUUAUUCAUCCAUCCCCAUUUUCAUCUCUUAAGAACUAUCAACCAGAUAAAGAAUAGCAGUAGGUUGCUUUUUUUCCUAUUUGGAAAAUGGAAAUUAUAAAAAUGUUCCAAAAUGUUAAUAUUAUGAAGAUCAAAAACAGGUCAUUGCUGUCACUAUAGGAACUUGGUAGUUUUAUGAACCACUACAUUAUCACUUCUUUUUUUCUACUUAUAUGCAACAUCAUUGAGACUCCAUGGGAACCCUCUAGGCUAGCAAUCACACUCUGCUCUGUUAAAAUGUGUAGCAGUUUUGACUUCAGUAGAGUUGAACAAUUCACAACUCAGUUUCACAGC